UAGCUCAGUUGGUUAGAGUGUGGUGCUGGUAACACCAAGGUCGCGGGUUCGAUUCCUGU
rnacentral:tRNA from 1 species